rnacentral:rRNA from 1 species
AACGAACGCUGGCGGCAGGCUUAACACAUGCAAGUCGAGCGCCCCGCAAGGGGAGCGGCAGACGGGUGAGUAACACGUGGGAACAUACCCAUCUCUGCGGAACAACUCCGGGAAACUGGAGCUAAUACCGCAUACGCCCUUCGGGGGAAAGAUUUAUCGGAGAUGGAUUGGCCCGCGUUGGAUUAGCUAGUUGGUGGGGUAAAGGCCUACCAAGGCGACGAUCCAUAGCUGGUCUGAGAGGAUGAUCAGCCACAUUAGGACUGAGACACGGCCCAAACUCCUACGGGAGGCAGCAGUGGGGAAUAUUGGACAAUGGGCGCAAGCCUGAUCCAGCCAUGCCGCGUGAGUGAUGAAGGCCUUAGGGUUGUAAAGCUCUUUCACCGAUGAAGAUAAUGACGGUAGUCGGAGAAGAAGCCCCGGCUAACUUCGUGCCAGCCGCCGCAGUAACAC